UUCAGUCUGGAGGCCUGGGAUGCUGUGAAACAGAUCCCCCUGGAGAGAAUCAUUGUGGAGACUGAUGCUCCCUACUUCCUCCCGCGCCAGGCAGUGCAAAGCCCUGCCCUGUAGAGGGCAGUUCACAGAAGCGUGGGACCCUGCUCACCCAGAGCCCCCUACUAGGACUCUCCCUGCACCUGCAGGUUCCCAAAAGCCUUUGCCAGUAUGCUCACCCUGGCCUGGCCUUGCACACGGUUCGAGAGAUUGCCAGAGUCAAAGAGGAACCGCUGUCCCGCACCUUGGCUGCUCUGCGUGAGAACACCAGUCGCCUCUAUAGUCUAUAAGUCAGAAGACAAAGUAGGAGCCUUGGAAAAGGUCAUGCCAUUUGCAUGAUGUGCUUGUUAGACAUCAGGCCGAGUGGGUCUUUGACUACAUUUUUUAAUGUACAGAAUAUAGGUGAGCAUGAAGCCUGA